GAGAAGGGUUUUUUAAACAGGAAUGAACAUAUUACGUUGACUUAUGGAUAACUGUUGGAACAUUAACAGCGACCCAAUUAUGGCAGAUCUCGCCAGGUGUGACAAAGUUACCGAAGUUUUCCUCUUCGUCUUCUUCAAUGAUGGCAGCAGCUUCUUGAUCUCCAUCGGUGUGGAUGAAACCUCCACUCUAAAACAGCCCAAGAUCAUUAGAAACACAGGAAGAAUACCCUAUACCAGCCCAGGAUUUAUUAU
rnacentral:lncRNA from 1 species